rnacentral:rRNA from 1 species
CAGUCGCCACGGUAACACGAGGGGGGCAAGCGUUGUUCGGAAUUAUUGGGCGUAAAGGGAGCGUAGGCGGCGUGGUAAGUCAGAUGUGAAAUCCCGGGGCUCAACCCCGGAACUGCAUCCGAUACUGCCAUGCUAGAGGAUUGGAGAGGUAGCUGGAAUUCUUGGUGUAGCAGUGAAAUGCGUGGAGAUCAAGAGGAACACUCGUGGCGAAAGUGAGCUACUGGACAAUAACUGACGCUGAGGCUCGAAGGCCAGGGUAGCGAAAGGGAUUAGAUACCCCUGUAGUCCCUGUCUCUUAUAC